AUGGUGUCCAUCGUGACAUGUUGGUCUAUCUGGCGCCACCGCAACCGUUGCGUCUUUGACGGUGAGACCCCAUCCACCACGCGGCUAGUCACGUCCAUCCAAGACGAAGCUCGAUCUUGGGCAAGAGUGGGCGCCCACGGACUUAGAUUAUUGCUUGAAUAG
rnacentral:rRNA from 1 species